rnacentral:rRNA from 1 species
CCCCUAGACGUUCUGGGCUGCACGCGCGCUACAAUAAUACGCACAGCGAGUAUCACCGAGCUCGAAAGGGCAAGGUAAACAAUAGAAAAGGUACUGUAAUGGUUAUAGAUCCUUGUAAUUAUUGAUCUUCAACGAGGAAUUCCUAGUAAGUAUGUGUCAUCAUCACGCACUGAUUACGUCCCUGCCCUUUGUACACACCGCCCGUCGCUACUACCGAUUGAAUGGUUUAGUGAGGCCUUCGGAUCCGCGAUUUUAUUGUGGAGAAGUUGGACAAACUCAGUCAUUUAGAGGAAGUAAAAGUCGUAACA